rnacentral:rRNA from 1 species
GAUGAGCAUGCGUCCCAUUAGCUAGUUGGUAAGGUAACGGCUUACCAAGGCUACGAUGGGUAGGGGUCCUGAGAGGGAGAUCCCCCACACUGGUACUGAGACACGGACCAGACUCCUACGGGAGGCAGCAGUGAGGAAUAUUGGACAAUGGGCGCAAGCCUGAUCCAGCCAUGCCGCGUGCAGGAUGACGGUCCUAUGGAUUGUAAACUGCUUUUAUACGAGAAGAAACACUCCUUCGUGAAGGAGCUUGACGGUAUCGUAAGAAUAAGGAUCGGCUAACUCCGUGCCAGCAGCCGCGGUAAUACGGAGGAUCCAAGCGUUAUCCGGAAUCAUUGGGUUUAAAGGGUCCGUAGGCGGUUUAAUAAGUCAGUGGUGAAAGCCCAUCGCUCAACGGUGGAACGGCCAUUGAUACUGUUAGACUUGAAUUAUUAGGAAGUAACUAGAAUAUGUAGUGUAGCGGUGAAAUGCUUAGAGAUUACAUGGAAUACCAAUUGCGAAGGCAGGGUACUACUAAUUGAUUGA